CCUUCGAUAGCUCAGUUGGUAGAGUGGAGGACUGUAGAUCCUUAGGUCGCUGGUCCGACUCCGGCUCGAAGGA
rnacentral:tRNA from 1 species